CAGCUAUGUAACAGUGAAUCAGCUAUGUAACAGUGAAUCAGCUAUGUAACAGUGAAUCAGCUAUGUAACAGUGAAUCAGCUAUGUAACAGUGAAUCAGCUAGGUAACAGUGAAUCAGCUAUGUAACAGUGAAUCAGCUAUGUAACAGCUAUGUAACAGUGAAUCAGCUAUGUAACAGUGAAUCAGCUAGGUAACAGUGAAUCAGCUAGGUAACAGUGAAUCAGCUAUGUAACAGCUAUGUAACAGUGAAUCAGCUAUGUAACAGUGAAUCAGCUAGGUAACAGUGAAUCAGCUAUGUAACAGUGAAUCAGCUAUGUAACAGUGAAU
ensembl:lncRNA